GAGAGAGAGAUACCGCCCACCUCA
rnacentral:miRNA from 1 species